UUUCAAGUUACUGCAUUCUGAUUCAAAGGCAAUAGUGCAGGAAACAGAGAUUGUUGAGCUUCAGAAAUGUUUUUUCUCUCUACAUCAAGAAGCAGUUAACCUGUUCACAGGGAAUGUAUUUCCUAUAAAACCACAAGAAGAAUUGUAUAACAGUGAGUCAGAGCUAUUGAAGAAAGAGCAACUAAUCCAGCACUUAAAACUGGCACAAGAAGUCCUUGAAAAUGAUAGCUUUAAUUCCAUAGACAGAAGCCUCCUUGAGCUCUUGAAACUGGACUACCAGAUAAUGAAGGAAACAAUCCACAUUUUUUGCCAAAAGCAUCAGCAGGCACCAUCAAGCAGUCUUCUAGAGUUCCGGGGUACUAAGGGAAAUAGCAACCAACCAUCAGUGACAUUGUCACAGCUCAUUGCACCCAAUUCCACUGCAGUGCUGGUGACAGUGCAGGAAGCAGCAAACUCUGAUGGGUAUGGGUUCACUGUGAAGAGGCAUGCAGAUCAAGGACUGCAGAUUGUGACAGCAGAGAGCUCGGAUCUCCAGCCUAACGAUAGACUUGUGGAAGUGAAUGGUGUCUGUGUACUGAAUGCAUCAGAAGAGGAGUUCAGGGCAUAUCUUACCACCCCAAGUGUACAAAUGUUGGUACUGAGAAAUUCUGGGAAAUCUUAACUGUGAUGUAAAGCUGACAUGAUCGAACCAGAUCAGGUUCUCCAACAAUGACUACUGCUGUGCUAAAUAAUUAUUACAGGAUCACACAAAUGUAAAAAACAGUAAAAUAUCUAGUUUUGUUGCAUAUUAUUCAUAGAUUUGAUGAAGGGUCACCCCAAACAAUAUAAAAUAAAUGGUCUCUCAUUCUGACACACCAUGAUUUUAUUACUUGAUAUUGGUGUAUUACAAAUAACAUUUGCAGAAUUUUAGCACGGUCAAUUUAUUCAUAAUGUGCUGGUCUUUUGGCUUGACUUCAAUGCCAAUGCAACUGGCAUGACUCAAUCAUCAAUCCAUUUUUGUUAUCCCGUCUCAGUUUCUAAUUGACCUGUUAAAAAGAUAGGGGUGGGAAGUUGCAAGCUGCCAUGGUACAGUCAGCCCUCCUUAUCCAGGGGGGAUUGGUUCUGGGACCCCCCCCCCCCCCGUGGAUACCAAAAUUCAUGGAUGCUCAAGUCCCUUAUUUAACAUGUAUCAAUGCAGUGCUCUUUAGGACCCAUUUGAACCCCAGACUUUAUUUAACGUCUCCAUGCAGUGGACAUUAGGACCUGGCGGCAGACUUUGAAUCCACAGUGUUUCUGUUCACAAAAAUGAUCGCAAUUGAAAAUAAGGUGGAAGUAAUCAAGUGAUUGGAAAGAGGUGAAACACCAUCGGUCACUGGAAAAGCGUUAGGCUACAGUCGGUCAAUGAUCAGAACAAUUUUAAUAAAGCAUGUGAAAGGCACUGCCCUGAUGAAAGCUACAAUUAUUACUAAGCAACGCAGUGGUUUAAUUAUUGAAAUACACGUUUCUUAAGAGUUUUAUUUGCAUAGAAAAGUAGAAUAUAUACGAAGAAAAACAUUUGACUAACUGACACUAAAUAAUACCAGAUGUACCUGUUCCAACUUCAAAAACGGACUCAGGAAUGGAACUCAUUCAUAACCCGGGGACUGCCUGUACUUUUAAGUCAUUUCUAGAUUACUUCUAAUACCUAAUACAAUGUAAAUGCUAUGUAAAUUGUUAUACUGUAUUGUUUAGGGAAUAAUGACAAAAGAUAAUCUGUACAUGCUCAAGCAACGAGUGCUGGAGCGAGAACUUCCAGGUUUUCCCAAUCCGCGGUUGGUUGAAUCCGUGCAUGCGGAAUCCAUGGAUAAGGAGGGCCAACUCUACUAGUUUUUCACCCUUUGUGGAGCAUACAUUGCAACAAAGAGUGCUCAUAGACCUAAUAAUAAAAUACAAAGAAUGAAAACAUGGUGUUUCAUAGUCACAGUGAAAAGCAAACUCUUCAGCCCAGUUCACCCAUGACAAUCAGGAUGCCUAUUCAAAUAAUCAAAUUGUCCACUCAGAUCUGAUGAGUUCAUCAAUGUAAUACAACCAAAAUUGUUUAAGCCAAAGCAAAAACCUACACACAAAGUCAUAGGGAGAUGCAGCAUGUAAAGAGACUUUGGCCAAUCCAAUGCACACCAAUGAUCAAUCAUCACAUUUUUUUUUAAAAAGACACUUUCCAGAUACUACACACUAUGGACAAAUUACAAUAGUCAAUUAAUCUACCAAACUGCACAUCUUUGGAAUGUGGAAAUAAACCUGAGCUCCAGGAGGAAACCCAUGCAAUCACAGUGAGAACAUGCAAACUGCACUGCCAGGACCCAAGGUCAGGACUGAACGCAGGUUUCUGAUGUUGAGGCGAACUGGCACACUAAAUCCUCAAUUAAUGUUGCUUUCUGUGGAUGGGAAAGUAUUGCUAUUGGUUAUCAAGUUUAAUACGAAGAUUCAGAACCAUGGUAAAGAAAGUAAGGAAUCUAUCUACUAUUGCAUCAAGCAGCUAAAAUGCCCAGCCAAACCAAAAUUACUUUACAACAGGGGUUCCCAACCUUUUUAUGUCAUGGACAGCUACCAUUAACUGAGGGGUCCAUAGACCCCAGGUUGUAGACUUCUGUUUUAUAACAACCUGGAAGAAAAAUAUGGGAAGAUAUAGAAAAAUCAAUUAGAAUGGGUUUUUUAAAAAUCCUCUAAAGUACACCCAUUUGCAAUACAUUACCUGAUGCUGAUUCAGCUCCAAAAUGACAUGAUUUUUGUUCAAUCAUAUUGUGAUGGGUUUAUUAAUUUUUAAGAGUAGACUACCCUUUAAUGCUCAAAUCAGCCAGAGCAAAAGACAAAGGAAAAAGAAGUUCAAAAGAAUCAGUAAUUGGUAGUUUUUGCCAGGCACUAUGAGGAAGUCAAGAUCGUAAGUGAUCCUUGGCUGGAUGUUCAGUGCUAAUGUUGAUUUCCAGAACAAAACUUUACAGAUAUUAUAACUUGAGCCUUGCAGAGCAGCAAAAAUGGGGUAAACUAUUGCAAAUUAUACUGGUAUGGAAAUAAGUACAGCACAUUUUGCCAUUUUUGAGAGUGGAACAUAAUCUUUGAUCACAUUUAAUUAUUACACUGUCUAAUCCUAUAGUACAUUAUAACUAUUUACAACUUGAUACUCUGUCUGCAUAACACAUUCUCUCCAGGAUCAGGUGGGUUGCAGCUCACAAUUUACUCUCGCAAAAGAUA